rnacentral:rRNA from 1 species
UUCAAACUUUUGCAGUUAGAGRAGAAAAUCGGCAGAUUUAACAUAAAAUCAUAACUUGUGGUGAAAUAUUAAUAUAGUUAUUCCCCCCAAUAUUCUAGAUCUUAUCAACAUUGGUACCUAACAAGGAUUAGAGACCCUUCUAAGCAAUGAUACACCCGCCUGCCGGGGAGUAAAACUUGAUGUUCAAACCCAAACAAUAUGGCGGUAGUCAUGAUAUUUUAGGGGAACUUACCUUAUAAAUGACAACCACCAAGGUUAACCAACCACAUGAAAAUCUUGUAUGCCGCCGUCGUCAGGUAGGAUCCGAUAUCCUACCCUAAGUAUACUCACGAAAAAGACAGGUCAAGGUGCAGACAAACUAGUGGCAUAGGCGAGUUACAAUAUAUACGUGCGCGUGGUAUGUUUUAAUCCAUAUCUUAAGUAGGACUUAACAGUAAUUUAAAUUAGUUAUAAUAAGUGAACGACACAUGACUGUGUACAA